AUACGUAGGGAGCGAGCGUUGUCCGGAAUUACUGGGUGUAAAGGGAGCGUAGGCGGGAGUGCAAGUCAGAUGUGAAAUACAUGGGCUCAACCCAUGGGCUGCAUUUGAAACUGCAUUUCUUGAGUGAAGUAGAGGUAAGCGGAAUUCCUGGUGUAGCGGUGAAAUGCGUAGAUAUCAGGAGGAACACCGGUGGCGAAGGCGGCUUACUGGGCUUUUACUGACGCUGAGGCUCGAAAGCGUGGGGAGCAAACAGGAUUAUAUACCCUGGUAGUCCACGCUGUAAACGAUGAUUACUAGGUGUGGGGGGACUGACCCCUUCCGUGCCGCAGUUAACACAAUAAGUAAUCCACCUGGGGAGUACGGCCGCAAGGUUGAAACUUAAAGGAAUUGACGGGG
rnacentral:rRNA from 1 species